rnacentral:rRNA from 1 species
UACGUAGGGGGCAAGCGUUGUCCGGAUUUAUUGGGCGUAAAGAGCUCGUAGGUGGUUCGGUAAGUCGGAUGUGAAAUCUCCAGGCUCAACCUGGAGGGGUCAUUCGAUACUGCCGUGACUAGAGUUCGGUAGGGGAGUGUGGAAUUCCUAGUGUAGCGGUGAAAUGCGCAGAUAUUAGGAAGAACACCGGUGGCGAAGGCGGCUCUCUGGAACGGUACUGACGCUGAGACGCGAAAGCGUGGGGAGCGAACAGG